rnacentral:lncRNA from 1 species
GCUAGAAUAAGUUCAUAAAUAUUUCCUACCUUUCCUAUAGGUCAGCCUUUCCCUUCUUGAUUUAAUUAGUAAUUUUAAAAACUGAUAGUUUUGCCAUUUGGGGGGGUCUUUUGCCAUUUGGGAGGCUGAGGCAUGAUUGUAAAUUGAAGCCCAGCCUGGGCAAGUUAGUGAAACUCUGUCUCAAAACAAAAAAAUAAAUAAUAAAAAUAAAAAAUAAAAGGGUGCAAGUGUAGCUCAGAGGUAAGGCCCUGGGUUCAAGCUCCAUUUCCACACAAAAAUAAUCCAGCCUCAGCCAUAAUUUAUAAGAAAAACCAACUUAUUCAGGAGACAGUAUACUCAAGAAUCCGCCAAAGAGAACAUUUACAAAGUGACAAAUCAGUAAAGUACUGGCAGUUGGACCAAAGGCCUCAAGCAUGCUAGGCAAGCACUCUGCAACUGAGCUAUGUACCUCCCAAAUUUGAAUGGAGACCAAACAGAGCAAGAAAAACCCAAGGAGAGACCCUGCCCAUGAGGGUCUAGUGGAGGAGCAUCAUGUAUUCGAAAGGGAUCAGUCAAGAUGAUAAUCGAGAACUGACCUUUUUUGGUUAGAAGAAAAAAAUGUUUGAAGUUCCUGCAUCAGCAAUACCAGAAAUCUGAGCUUACUAAUAAUGACAUUAUGCUUGUACAUGAUAAAACUAUAGAUGAAGAGCUGAAGUGUGUAUUCAGUUGGAGUAUGAAAUAUAUUUCUUACUGACUUGCAGUUAAAAAUAAAAACCAUUGAUU